AUCCUCUGCUGCCAAGAAAAGCCUCUAGCGAGUUCACACACGGCCCGUACCCCAAACCAACACAGGUGGUCAGGUAGAGAAUACCAAGGCGUACGAGAUAACUAUGGUUAAGGAACUCGGCAAAAUACCCCCGUAACUUCGGGAGAAGGGGGGCCGGCACAUCGUGAACACCUUUUCGGUGGGAGCGGAAGCCGGUCGCAGAAACCAGUGAGAAGCGACUGUUUACUAAAAACACAGGUCCGUGCGAAGUCGCAAGACGAUGUAUACGGACUGACGCCUGCCCGGUGCUGGAAGGUUAAGAGGACCCGUUAACUCGUAAGGGUGAAGCGGAGAAUUUAAGCCCCAGUAAACGGCGGUGGUAACUAUAACCAUCCUAAGGUAGCGAAAUUCCUUGUCGGGUAAGUUCCGACCUGCACGAAUGGCGUAACGACUUCUCAACUGUCUCAACCAUAGACUCGGCGAAAUUGCACUACGAGUAAAGAUGCUCGUUACGCGCGGCAGGACGAAAAGACCCCGGGACCUUCACUAUAGCUUGGUAUUGUUGUUCGGUACGGUUUGUGUAGGAUAGGUGGGAGACUGUGAAACCUCGACGCUAGUUGAGGUGGAGUCGUUGUUGAAAUACCACUCUGAUCGUAUUGGACACCUAACGUCGAACCGUAUAUCCGGUUCACGGACAGUGCCUGGUGGGUAGUUUAACUGGGGCGGUUGCCUCCUAAAAUGUAACGGAGGCGCCCAAAGGUUCCCUCAACCUGGACGGCAAUCAGGUGUUGAG
rnacentral:rRNA from 1 species